CAGCCGCCGCGGGAAUACGUAGGGUGCGAGCGUUAAUCGGAAUUACUGGGCGUAAAGCGUGCGCAGGCGGUUAUAUAAGACAGUUGUGAAAUCCCCGGGCUCAACCUGGGAACUGCAUCUGUGACUGUAUAGCUAGAGUACGGUAUAGGGGGAUGGUAUUCCGCGUGUAGCAGUGAAAUGCGUAGAUAUGCGGAGGAACACCGAUGGCGAAGGCAAUCCCCUGGACCUGUUCUGACGCUCAUGCACGAAAGCGUGGGGAGCAAACAGGAUUAGAUACCCCUGUAGUCCCUGUCUCUUAUAU
rnacentral:rRNA from 1 species